rnacentral:tRNA from 1 species
GCCCCUGUGGCGCAAUCGGUAGCGCGUAAGACUUCUAUGACAUGGUCAUCUUAAGGCUGUGGGUGAGCCCCACCAGGGGCU